GAUGAAGGAACGUAGUGAAAUGCGAUAAGUAGUGUGAAUUGCAGAAUUCAGUGAAUCAUCGAAUCUUUGAACGCACAUUGCGCCUCCUGGUAUUCCGGGAGGCAUGCCUGUUCGAGCGUCAUUAAAAUCACUCAAGCUUAGGUUUACCUAUUGCUUGGUCUUGGAGAUGGAAGCCAAUUUAUUGGAAUCCUCUUCGAAAUUCAAUGGCGAAGACCCUUGCUCUCCCAAGUGUAGUAAUAACUUAUGUCACUGAAGGAAGCGAGAAAUCUUCUGCCGUAACCCCCAUAUUUUCUAUGAUUGACCUCGGAUCAGGUAGGGAUACCCGCUGAACUUAAGCAUAUCAAUAAGCGGAGGA
rnacentral:misc_RNA from 1 species